rnacentral:misc_RNA from 1 species
AAGUCGUAACAAGGUAACCGUAGGUGAACCUGCAGUUGGAUCAUUAGAGGAAUUUGGGUUUGACAUGGAAAUCAUAUAUAGAUUUUCUGUGUCAAGCAGCAUAGUGGAACCAGUGUCCACCACCUUGCAUUAUGCAAGAAAAUGCAAGUCACCUUGAUGUGCACUGUGAAUGUCUUUGGCAGGGGAUGAAGGCCAGCCUUUUGUUUCAAAGGCGUGGUACUUUCUCCGUCAGCCUCAGCUACCAGCUGAGGCCGUGGACAACCUGCCAACCACUAGCAGAUGAAACAUCUUUAACUGUUUUUGAAUUCUGAAUUCUUUCUUUUUUUUCAUGCCGUUAAUGGCAUGGAAAUGUAAAUUGAAACAACUUUUGGCAAUGGAUCUCUUGGCUCUC